GCAGUGUUGGUUCAGUGGUAGAAUUCUUGCCUCCCUUGCAGAAGACUUGGGUUCAACUCCCAGCCAAUGUA
rnacentral:tRNA from 1 species